UACGGCUUGUCGGAGUGCUGAGGUAUCAAAGAUACCGACGCUGAGACCGCGUUGCGGAAUCCGUAGAACCUGCUCCAGGAUAAUACCUGCGAAGGAAACAAGUUGAUGAUCACU
rnacentral:ncRNA from 1 species